rnacentral:sRNA from 1 species
UAAAAAAUAACAGUCACAGCUUCUACAACUUUGUUUUACCAAUCUGAUUUUAACAGCCAAAGUCUUUACAGCUAAAUUCUUUGUACCUCAAAUUUUUAAAGUCAAACCUUCUAAAGCCAAAAAUAACGGUCGUUACCAAUCUGUUAAAAAAAUUUACCUUCUGAAUUAGCAUAAACUGAUUUCGGUAUACCAUGUUUCAAUUUCUUCUGACU